AGACAGGAUCAGCGAUGACCUCCACCAUGGGCUGGUCCCCUCUCCUCCUGACCCUCCUCGCUCACUGCACAGGUUCCUGGGCCCAGGCUGUGCUGACUCAGCCGGCCUCAGUGUCUGGGUCCCUGGGCCAGAGGGUCACCAUUACCUGCACUGGAAGCAGCUCCAACAUCGGUAGAUAUAAUGUGGACUGGUACCAACAGCUCCCGGGAACAGGCCCCAGAACUGUCAUCUAUGGUAAUAGUAACCGACCCUCAGGGGUCCCCGAUCGAUUCUCUGGCUCCAAGUCAGGCAGCACAGCCACCCUGACCAUCUCUGGGCUUCAGGCUGAGGACGAGGCUGAUUAUUACUGCUCUACAUGGGACAACAGUCUCAAUGCUCCCACGGUGCUCCAGGCCUGUGGGGAAAGCGACAGCUCCUUCAUGCAGGCAGAGAUGUCAUCUAGGAGUCUGGGGUCCAUGACGGAGCUCACAGGGGAAUAUCACCCCAUCCACUUCCCCAAGGAGGUGUGA